rnacentral:rRNA from 1 species
AUGAGAAAGAAGAACGCGGUGGAAGUCUCUCAUGGUGAAGGUUUGCUAGUCAAGGGUGAGCAGUGGCGGAAGGGAUAUGAGGCUGGGAAGAACAAGAAAAAGAAAAAGAAUAUACAGUGUCACAAGUGUAAGCAAUGGAGACAUAUGAGAAAGGACUGUCCAGAACUCAAUGGUGGGGCCUGUGCUAAUAAGGCAACUCAUGGUGAUGACUCAGACAGCAGUAGUGAUGUCCUCAUAGUAUCAGACAGGCGGUCAACCAAAAGUGAAGCGUGGAUGUUGGAUUUAGCUUGCUCUUUUCAUGCAACACCCAACAGGGAGUGGUUCUCUUCGUACAAGUCAUACAAGUCUGAUGAGUUUGGUUUAGCCUAUGUGGGCGAUGACACAGGUUAUCGUGUUGCUGGAGUAGGUGACAUCAAAAUCAAGAUGUUUGACGGAGUUGAGCGGAUGCUUCGGGGAGUCAGGCAUGUGCCAGGGCUAAGGAGGAAUCUAAUUUCGCUUGGUGUUCAUCAUGAUGAUGGUAUGGUAUUCCGUUGUGAUCGGGAUAGGAAGACCAUGAGAAUCAUGGAAGAUAAGGUGACCGUAAUGAUUGGAGAGAGGACGGCUUCGCAUCUUUACAAGUUGCAAGGGAGCACUAUUGCAGGUGGAGUCACGGAGACUGGAGUUGCGGGAGUAGCAGCGGGGUUCCACGGUGGCGGCGGGUCUGGGGCAGACUCGUCGAGUAGCUCUCAGUAA